CUACGGAGGGGGCUAGCGUUGUUCGGAAUUACUGGGCGUAAAGCGCGCGUAGGCGGCCUGUCAAGUUGGGUGUGAAAGCCCGGGGCUCAACCCCGGAAUUGCACUCAAAACUGGCAAGCUAGAGACCGAGAGAGGUGAGUGGAAUUUCCAGUGUAGAGGUGAAAUUCGUAGAUAUUGGAAAGAACACCAGUGGCGAAGGCGGCUCACUGGCUCGGUACUGACGCUGAGGUGCGAAAGCGUGGGGAGCAAACAGGAUUAGAAACCCUAGUAGUCC
rnacentral:rRNA from 1 species